GCCGGUGUAGCUCAGUUGGUAGAGCAGCGCAUUCGUAAUGCGAAGGUCGGGGGUUCGACUCCUCUCUCCGGCA
rfam:Burkholderiales bacterium 66-5 scnpilot_p_inoc_scaffold_3386, whole genome shotgun sequence.